UGGGGAAUAUUGCACAAUGGGCGCAAGCCUGAUGCAGCGACGCCGCGUGAGGGAUGGAGGCCUUCGGGUUGUAAACCUCUUUCGCCAGUGAAGCAGGCCAUCUUCUUUGUGGGGUGGUUGACGGUAGCUGGAUAAGAAGCGCCGGCUAACUACGUGCCAGCAGUCGCGGUAAUACGUAGGGCGCGAGCGUUGUCCGGAAUUAUUGGGCGUAAAGAGCUCGUAGGCGGCUGGUCGCGUCUGUCGUGAAAUCCCCUGGCUUAACUGGGGGCUUGCGGUGGGUACGGGCCGGCUUGAGUGCGGUAGGGGAGACUGGAAUUCCUGGUGUAGCGGUGGAAUGCGCAGAUAUCAGGAGGAACACCGGUGGCGAAGGCGGGUCUCUGGGCCGUUACUGACGCUGAGGAGCGAAAGCGUGGGGAGCGAACAGG
rnacentral:rRNA from 1 species